UCCUAAUCGCAAUCUAUCGCAAUCUAAUCAUAAUAAUGUCUAGGGUGGCUAACUCACUAUUCAGUAGCUAUCACAGAAUCGUAUGUUGUAGACAUGUCGAUGAUAUUUUUUCUUUUAUUUUUCUUUUCUUUAAAUUUUUGUUUAUUUGUAUUUUUCUAGAUUUCACUACGGAAUGAAAAUAGGUGUGUUUUAAAUUCCUGACAUGAAUGUUCGAGAAAUUUCACAGUCUUGCAACUUUUAGACAAAAGUUUCUGAACUUGAGGGAAAAGAAGGAAAAAUGUACCAUCCCAUCAUUUAAAAUCGAAGAUACUGCUACGAAACAAACCCAUACGCCACCCGGUACGACACCUAUGGAUUCUAGUAUGUACGGCGAUGAUGACUCAUUGUCGGUGACAGCAGCCGGGGAAGAACCUGGAAGCGGAUGUCGCGAAGGGUGUUCGAGAUCAAGCCUAGAAGCGCUGACAGAGACCUUGGAGAAGGACCGCGCGUCGGGAACAGUUAGUGUGGUCUAGAUAAUGGGACAGGUCUAGUCAAACCCAUUCCAGUCGAGUCGGAAUUAUUCUGUAUAUAAUCGCUGUAUAGUUAGUCGUAUAAAUUGGAGUUAUUAAGAUAUAAA